GAUGAACGCUGGCGGCGUGCCUAAUACAUGCAAGUCGAGCGAACAGACGAGGAGCUUGCUCCUCUGACGUUAGCGGCGGACGGGUGAGUAACACGUGGAUAACCUACCUAUAAGACGGGGAUAACUUCGGGAAACCGGAGCUAAUACCGGAGAAUAAAUUGAACCGCAGGGUUCAAUAGUGAAAGACGGUUUUGCUGUCACUUAUAGAUGGAUCCGCGUCGCAUUAGCUAGUUGGUAGGGUAACGGCUUACCAAGGCAACGAUGCGUAGCCGCCCUGAGAGGGCGAUCGGCCACACUGGAACUGCGACACGGCCCAGACUCCUACGGGAGGCAGCAGUGGGGAAUCUUCCACAAUGGGCGAAAGCCUGACGGAGCAACGCCGCGUGAGUGAUGAAGGUCUUCGGAUCGUAAAACUCUGUUAUUAGGGAAGAACUAAUUUGUAAGUAUCUAUUCGCGUCUUGACGGUACCUAAUCAGAAAGCCCCGGCUAACUACGUG
rnacentral:rRNA from 1 species